GAGUUUGAUCAUGGCUCAGGAUCAACGCUGGCGGCGUGCUUCAGACAUGCAAGUCGAACGCGAAAGUUUCCUUCGGGAAGCGAGUAGAGUGGCGCACGGGUGAGUAACACGUAAGUAAUCUACCUUUGGGUGGGGAAUAACUCAGGGAAACUUGAGCUAAUACCGCAUAAUGCAGCGGCUCCUUAUGGAGACAGUUGUUAAAGAAUUUAUUCGCCUAAAGAGGAGCUUGCGGCAGAUUAGCUAGUUGGUAAGGUAAUGGCUUACCAAGGCAACGAUCUGUAGCCGACCUGAGAGGGUGGUCGGUCACACUGACACUGAAUAACGGGUCAGACUCCUACGGGAGGCAGCAGUCGGGGAUUUUGGGCAAUGGGCGAAAGCCUGACCCAGCAACGCCGCGUGAAGGAUGAAGUAUUUCGGUAUGUAAACUUCGUAAGAAUAGGAAGAAUCAAUGACGGUACUAUUUGUAAGCUCCGGCUAACUACGUGCCAGCAGCCGCGGUAAUACGUAGGGGGCAAGCGUUGUUCGGAUUUACUGGGCGUAAAGGGCGCG
rnacentral:rRNA from 1 species